CCGAGUUUACAACUCCCAAACCCAAUGUGAACGUUACCAAACUGUUGCCUCGGCGGGAUCUCUGCCCCGGGUGCGUCGCAGCCCCGGACCAAGGCGCCCGCCGGAGGACCAACCAAAACUCUUAUUGUAUACCCCCUCGCGGGUUUUUUUACUAUCUGAGCCAUUCUCGGCGCCCCUCGUAGGCGUUUCGAAAAUGAAUCA
rnacentral:misc_RNA from 1 species